GAGUUUGAUCAUGGCUCAGAUUGAACGCUGGCGGCAUGCCUAACACAUGCAAGUCGAACGGGAGUAGCAAUACUCUAGUGGCGGACGGGUGAGGAAUACAUAGGAAUUUGCCCUUAAGUGGGGGAUAGUCCGGGGAAACUCGGUUUAAUACCGCAUGAUCUCGUGAGAGCAAAGCAGGGGACCGCAAGGCCUUGCGCUUUUGGAGAGGCCUAUGUCGGAUUAGCUAGUUGGUGAGGCAAUGGCUCACCAAGGCGACGAUCCGUAACUGGUCUGAGAGGAUGAUCAGUCACACCGGAACUGAGACACGGUCCGGACUCCUACGGGAGGCAGCAGUGGGGAAUAUUGGACAAUGGGCGAAAGCCUGAUCCAGCAAUGCCGCGUGUGUGAAGAAGGCCUUCGGGUUGUAAAGCACUUUAGGUUGGGAAAAAAAUUCGGGCGAAUAUCCCGAGUCUUGACGGUACCGACAGAAUAAGCACCGGCUAACUCUGUGCCAGCAGCCGCGGUAAUACG
rnacentral:rRNA from 1 species